rnacentral:misc_RNA from 1 species
GAUGAAGAACGUAGCGAAAUGCGAUAAUUAAUGUGAAUUGCAGAAUUCUGUGAAUCAUCGAGUCUUUGAACGCACAUUGCGCCUCAUGGCAUUCCGUGAGGCAUGCCCAUCUCAGCGUUAGAAAAUAUUCUCAAAUUUUAGUUUUGUGCUAAAAUUUGGAUCAUGUCAAAGAAGCUAUUACUAUUAUUGUGAUCGCUCUUUGGAAAUUGAUAGGUCUUUGAGUUGUUACUCAUAGAACGUGAUGAAUCUUUCUUCGUUCUAUUGUAAUUCACACUGGUAGUCCUAAAACUUGUAUGCCUGUGGCAUAUCUUGUAAUUUGACCUGAGAUUGGGUAGGGAUACCCGCUGAACUUAAGCAUAUCAAUAAGCGGAGGA